GAAGAGAAACCAAGGAAGAACAAACCCUAGAUGGGAAAAAUCAAAGAGAAAGUGUUGGAAUUCAAGGAUUUGAUCAAGCAAAGGUAAAAUUUAUUUGAUUUUGCCAGUGAUUUACCUUACCCAUGCAUUUUCCCUUAAUUUCCAUGGCUAAAUUACAUGUUUUCAUGAUGAAUUCAUGGCUGGUCAAAAUGGGUAAGGAGAGAGAAAGAUGUUGGAUUGAAUUGAUUUUAAGAUAUGUUAGUGUUUUUAGUUAGUUUAGCAUAUUUAGAAGCAAAACAACAAGAAAAGAAUCCAUUUUUCCCAUGAAUCUUCAUUGGCCGAAUCUUCGUUGAUGUGUGUAGGUGAUGGAUUGUUAUUAUUUCAAGAGAAAUGGCUUAGAAAAUGAUGAAUAAUGGUGAAAAAAUUAAGUAGGAAAAAUCACGGUGUUAGUGCACUAUAAUGGCCGAAUUUUUCCAAGAAGAAAUGGGAAGGUUUUGAUGCUGCAAUUGAUGUUAUUUGAAUAAUGUUUGGUGAAUUGAGGUAUUAGAAAUUAAAUGGAGCAAUUUGGAGCCAAAUCGGACACAAUUGUCAUUUAAUCCGGUAAUAGGCCAAAUUAGGUCAGCACUGCAUUUAAGCGGUAGUCGGAUAAGUUGCAUAUCAUAUCAUGCAUAUACAUCGAGCCUGAAUUGAUUUUAUAAUGGUCAAGCAUUAAUGUGGUGAAUUAUGUAUUGUACAUUGUGGAUAGGUGGUGAGCAAAUUACACUAGUAAAAGUACAGAGAUUUUGCUUGAAGAUUGGGAUUAGGAGUACAUCGACUCCUAGAACUGUGAGUAAACUUAUUAUCGUCUUAAUUAUCUAGAGUAGUUUUAUAAAAAAUGGGUUUAAAUGGUAAAUUACUACGUUGUAGGAGAAAUUGUGAUUUUAUAAAAUGAUUUUAUAAAUUUUUUGAAAAAUUGAAUACUGGUUUUGAAAAUAGAGUAAUUGAAGACUGCCUGCUUGUGUUAUAAAUUGUGUUUUAAAUUAUAUGGCUUAUAGCAAUAUGUGAGCAUGAAUGGCAAAGUCGGUAUUUGUAUCAAAAUUAUAUAUACUAUGUAUUCAGCCUUGGGAGCCUAGAUUGCGAUAAAUUGCCAUGUCAUGCAGAUAAGGAUUUUAUAAAUCAGGUGGUAGAUAAAAUAAUUCAUAGUCACUGCAGUGGUGGGGGUUUUCGUGGAUUGCCUAUGAGAGGGGCACGGUAACUCAGUUAUAUAUUUACCUUCGGGGGGAGAUGUUGGAUAAAGUAUCUCCUGAGGUAAAGAUUUGAGUGCACUUCACGUGGACCACCGCGUGAGAGUGAGACUCAGCCAACGUCAAGGAACGGCUAUGUGUCAGAUGCGAAAACAUGUUUAUAGGUAUGGGACAUUUAACAACCUUGGCGGUCUCAAUGGGAUACCUUGACGAAGGUACCCACGAGAAUGAUUUUGGCAAGAGCCAAGUUUUGUGAGAUAUAUAAGCCAUGUUGAUUAAUUGAGUAAACUGAAUAUUCAUGUUAUGAAACAUAUAUCAGAAAAGAAUAUUUUAAUUCGUCUCCAUUUACUCACCUUUAGAUAGUUUAGAUGGUGUCUGUUUACUCACUGAGAUUUUAUAAUCUCACCACCCUCAUUUCCUCACAUUUCAGGCUCAGGAAAUUCCAUAGUUAGCUGACUUUGACAAGAACCUUCAUUUAGACUUGAAUCGACAAAAGCUGUAGGUUUUCAGCUUCUGAUGCAUUUUGGUUAGUUGGGGGCUCAUGUGUCACUGUAAAAGUAAUUUUAUACUUUAGUUGUCUGAUUUAAAGUAUGUAUGAACAUAUUUAGCUUUUACACCAUGUUUUUGGCGGGUUUCAGUAUUUUCGAAAAAAAAUACCGAAAAUGCCCUUGUGAGCCAAAAAAUAAUAUUUUAUUGUUUUGAUUUGGAAACGACUUAUGAUUUCUUUAAAUACGAUAUUUAAUAACUGUCGCUCACCGGGGAGAUGCGAAAGCUGAUGCUAAGCCUUGCGGGGUUUCGAUCAGCAUUCAGGGUAAUGAGUGCCUAUCGAGACGUCGCGACGGUUGUCAUGGGCCCGAUGGGAGUUUCGGGUCGUGACACAGUAAACCCAGUUAUAUUUUACCUCGGUACGAGAGGCGUGGAGGGUAUCUCCUGAGGUAAAGCUUUGGAGUUCACUACACGCUAAACCAGCACGUGAGGGUGAACUCAGCCAACGCCAAGGAACAGCUAUGCUUUUAAACGUAAAAAUGUGUUUUAUGAGUAUAUGAACUUUUCUUUAAUAGCCUUGGCAGACUCGAUUGGAUGCCCCGGCCAAGGUAUCCCCGAGAAUGAGUUUUGGCACGAGCCAAAUUUUUAAGAAAUUCAUAAGCCAUGUUGAUUAUUUGAGUGAAAUGAAAUUAUUUUAUUUAGUUGAAAUGAGUUUGAAAUGUUAUGAAUUAUAGUAUGAUGAAUUAUUUUAAGUUGUCUCCAUUUACUCGACUUUAGAUAUUUUAGAUGAUGUUUGCUUACUCACUGAGUUUAUAUAAACUCACCACCCUCCUUUCCACUCAUUCCAGGAUCAAGACAGUCUGUAGAUAGCUGAUUUCAUCGAGGAUCUACUUUAGAAUUUACAUCCUUAGAAAUCAAAGGUCUACCUUCUUGUACAUAUUUGUUUAUUUUGGGAACCCACAUGUCAUUGUAGAGUAUUUUGUAUACCUGGCUGCGUGUGCCACUGUAUGUAUGAAUAUAUUUUUCUUUUACGCUACAAAAAUUAUUUACGUAGAGUUCUGUAAAUAUUGUUUUAUAAGAAAAUAGAAUAUUUUAUUUAAUAUUUUUAUUUAGUUUGAUUAGCCAUAAUUUCAUUUCAAAUGGAUGAUUUAGAUUGCUAAAAUUAUUUUUAGAUAAGAAAUGUAUAUUUUUUGAUCGUAUACUAUAUUUUCACCAGGUUUCAAAAUUUUUAUGUAAAAAUGACCAAAAUAUCCGUGUGGCAAAAAUUAUUUUUUUGUUUGUUUUGAUUUAAAAAUAAUUUAUAUUCCCUAAAAUAUGAUAUUUAGUAACUAUUGCUCACAAGGGAGAUGUAAAACUGAUACGAGAGCCUUGUAAGGUUUCGGUUGACAUUUCGGGUAGUGAAUGUCUAUCGAGACAUCGCAGUGGAUGUCACGGGCUCGAAGGGAGUAUCGGGUCGUGACAAAUAAGGCUUUCGAAGGCAUAAGUGACUAUAAAUAGACUUUUCUUGUCAAUGGAUGGCUUUCACUUUGCGUUUCUUGAGGCAACAUUUAAUUAUAAUCUUUCUUAACCAAAAAUGUAAAAAAAUUCAACUUAAAAUCAAUUAUGAGAUUACUAAACCAUUUAAAACAAGUAAUAAGGCUUUCGAAGGCAUUAGUGACUACAAAUGAACUUUUCUUCUCAAUCGAUGGCUUUCGCUUCACAUUUCUCAUGGUAAACAUUUAGUUAUUAUCUGUUUUAACCAAAAUGGUAAAAAAAUUCAACUUAAAAUCAAUUAUGAGAUUAUAAAACCAUUUAAAGUGAGUAAUAAGGCUUUUCAAAGGAAUGAGUGACUAUAAAUGAACUUUUCUUGUCAAUAAAUGGCUUUCGCUUCACUUUUCUUGAGGCAAACAUUUAAUUAUAAUCUUUCUUCACCAAAAAUGUAAAAAAAUUCAACUUAAAAUCAAUUAUGAGAUUAUAAAACCGUUUAAAGUGAGUAAUAAGGCUUCCAAAGAUAUCAGUGACUAUAAAUGGGCUUUUCUCAUCACUUGAUAACUUUCCCUUCACGUUUCUCGAGGUAAAUAUUCAAUUAUAGUAUGUUUUAACCAAAAAUAUAAAAAAAUUCAAUUUAAAAUAAAUUAUGAGAUUGUAAAGCCAUUUAAAGCAAGUAAUAAGGCUUUCAAAGGUAUGAGUGACUAUAAAUGAACUUUUCUUCUCAAUGGAUGGCCUUCGCUUCAUGUUUCCUGAAGCAAAUAUUCAAUUAUAACCUGUUCUAAUUGAAAAGGCAAAAAAAUUCAACUUAAAAUUGAUUAUGAGAUUAUAAAAUCGUUUAAAGCAAGUGAUAAGGCUUCCAAAGGCAUGAGAGACUAUAAAUGUAUUUUUCUUCUCAAUGGAUGGCUUUCGCUUCACGUUUCCCAAAGCAAAUAUUCAAUUACAAUCUACUUUAACCAAAAAUGCAAAAGCAUUCAACUUAAAAUCAAUUAUGAGACUAUAAAAGCAUUUAGAGCGAGUAAUAAGGCUUCCGAAGGCAUGAGUGACUAUAAAUAAACUUUCUUUCUCAAUGCAUGGCUUUCACUUCAUGUUUCUCGAGGAAAAUAUUUAAUUAUAAUUUAUUUUAAGCAAAAAGGUAAAAAAUUUUGGCUUAAAAUCAAUUAUGAGAUUAUAAAAUCAUUGAAAGUAAGUAAUAAGGCUUUUGAAAGCAUUGGAUGGAUUUCGUUUUGCGUUUCCUGAGGUAAACAUUCAGUUAUAAUCUAUUUCAACCAAAAAUAUAAAACAAUUCAACUUAAAAUCAAUUAUGAGAUUAUAAAACCAUUUAAAGCAAGUAGUAAUGCUUCUAAAGGCAUGAGUGACUAUAAAAGGACUUUUCUUGUUAAUGGAUGGCUUUUGCCUCACGUUUCCUGAGGUAAACAUUCGAUUAUAAUCUAUUUCAACCAAAAAUAUAUAAAAAAUUCCACUUAAAAUCAAUUAUGAGAUUAUAAAACAAUAUAAAGUGAGUAAUAAGACUGUCAAAGGCAUGAGUGACUACAAAUGGACUUUUCUUUCCAAUUGAUGGCUUUUGCUUCACAUUUCCCAAGAUAAACAUUCAAUUAUAAUCUGUUUUAACCAAAAAUGUAAAAAAUUUCAACUUAAAAUCAAUUAAGAGAUUAUAGAACCAUUAAAAGCGAGUAAUAAGGCUUCCAAAGGCAUGAGUGACUAUAAAUGGACUUUUCUUGUCAAUGGACGACUUUCACUUCGCGUUUCUCAAGAUAAACAUUCGAUUAUAAUCUAUUUUAACAAAAAAUGUAAAAAAAUUCAACUUAAAAUCAAUUAUGAGAUUAUAAAACUCUUUAAAGCGAGUAAUAAGGCUUACGAAGCCAUGAGUUACUAUAAAUGAACUUUUCUUCUCAAUGCAUGGGUUUCACAUCACAUUUUCGAAGGUAAAUAUUCAAUUAUAAUCUCUUCUAACUGAAAACAUAAACAAAUUUAACUUAAAAUUAAUUAUAAGGUUAUAAAGCCAUUUAAAGCGAGUAAUAAGGCUUUCGAAGGCAUAAGUGACAAUAAAUAGACUUUGUUUGGCAAUGGAUGGCUUUCGCUUCACGUUUCCGAGGUAAACAUUCAAUUAUAAUCUGUUUUAACCAAAAAUGUAAAAAAAAUUAACUUUAAAUCAAUUAUGAGAUUAUAAAAAUUUAAAGCGAGUAAUAAGGCUUUUGAAGGGAUGAGUGGUUAUAAAUGAAGUUUUCUUCUUAACGAAUGGCUUUCGCUUCACGUUUCUCGAGGUAAAUAUUCAAAAUGAUCUGUUUUAAUCAAAAAGGUAAAAAAAUUCAACCUAAAAUCAAUUAUGAAAUUAUAAAACCAUUUAAAGCGAGUAAUAAGGCUUUCGAAGGCAUGAGUGACUAUAAAUGAACUUUUUUUCUCAAUGGGUGGCUUUCGCAUCAUGUUUCUCGAGAUAAAUAUUCAAUUAGAAUCUGUUUUAACUAAAAAUGUGAAAAAAUUCACAUAAAAUCAAUUAGGAGAUUAUAAAACCAUUUAAAGCGAGUAAUAAGCCUUUUGAAGGAAUCAGUGACUACAAAUCGACUUUUCUUGUCAAUGGAUGACUUUCGCAUCAUGUUUCUCGAGGUAAACAUUUAAUUAUAAUCUGUUUUAACUAAAAAUGUAAAAACAAUUGAAGCUAAAAUCAAUUAUGAGAUUAUAAAACCAUUUAAAGCAACUAAUAAGGCUUUCGAAGGCAUGAGUGACUAUAAAUGAACUUUUCUUCUCAAUGCAUGGCUUUUGCUUCACGUUUUUCAAAGCAAAUAUUCAAUUAUAACCUGUUUUAAUUGAAAAGGUAAAAAAAUUCAAUUUAAAAAUUUGUUAUAAGAUUAUAAAACCAUUUAAAGCAAGUAAUAAGGCUUCCGAAGGCAAGAGUGACUAUAAAUGGACUUUCUUGUCAAUGGAUGUCUUUCGCUUAAUGUUUUUCGAGGUAAACAAUCAAUUAUAAUCUGUUUUAACCAAAAAUGUGAAAAAAUUCACAUAAAAUCAAUUAAGAGAUUAUAAAACCAUUUAAAGCGAGUAAUAGGGCUUUCAAAGGCCUAGGUGGCAAUAAAUUGGCUUUUCUUGGCAAUUGAUGGCUUUCACUUCAUGUUUCCCAUGGCAAACAUUCAAUUAUAAUUUGUUUUAACCAAAAAUGUAAAAAAAAAUUUAACUUAAAAUAAAUUACGAGAUUAUAAAACCAUUUAAAACAAGUAAUAAGGCUUUUGAAUGUAUGAGUGACUAUAAAUGAACUUUUCUUCUCAUUGGAUGGCUUUCGCUUCACGUUUCCCAAAGUAAAUAUUCAAUUGUAAUAUGUUUUAACCAAAAAGGAAAAAAAAUUCAACUUAAAAUCGAUUAUGGAAUUAUAAAACCAUUUAAAGCGAGUAAUAAGGCUUCCGAAGGCAUGAGCGACUAUACAUGGACUUUCUUGUCAAUGGAUGGCUUUCACUUAAUGUUUCUCAAGGUAAACAAUCCAUUAUAAUCUGUUUUAACCAAAACUGUGAAAGUAUUCACAUAAAAUGUCACGACUUGGUACUCCCCUCGAGCUCGUGACAACCGCUGCGAUGUCCCGAUCGACACUCAUUACCUAGAAUGUCAACCGGAACCCCACAAGGCUUUAAUAUUAGUUUCUCAUUUUCCCUGUGAGUAACCGUUGUCAAAUAUCAUGUUCUAAAAGAUUUUAAGCUAUUUCCAACUUAAAUCAAUAAAAAAAAUGAUUUUUGUCUCACAUGGGCAUUUUGGUCAUUUUUUCCCAAAAAUUUUGAAACUAGAUAAAAAUGUAGUAUGCGAGUAUAAAACACAUAAUUCAUAAUCAAGAAUAAGUUUAAACGUCUAAAACCUUCAUUUAGAAUGAAAUUAUGACUAUUUGAAUAUAAUAAAAAUAUUCAAUAAAAUAUUCUAUUUUCUUAUAAAACAAUAUUUAUAGAGUUACCGGUAAAUAAUUUUUGUAGUGUAAAAGCUAAAUAAAUUCAUACAUACUGUAAUACAAAUAACCAAAGCAUAAGAUUUAAUUUACAGUGACACGUGGGCCCACGAACGACCAAAAGUAUCAAAAGCAGUAAACCUACAGUUUUUGAGGAUGCAAGUCCAACUGUAGCCCUCAAUGAAAUGAGCUAUUUACCGACUAUCCUGAGCCUGAAAUGGGUGAAAAUGAGGGUGGUGAGAUUAUAUAAUCUCAAUGUGUAAACAAAUACCAUCUAAAAUACUAAAGCUGAGUAAAUGGAGACAGAUAAAAUAGAUCAACAUAAAAAUGAUUCACAGCAUUUCGAACUCAUUUUAAUAAGAUAAAAUAGAUUCAUUUCACCAAAAUAAACAACGAGGCUUAUGAUUUCCUGAAAAGUUUGGCUCGUGCCAAAAUCAUUCUCAUACUCAGUUAUCAGGGAUACCUUGGCCUGGGGCUAUCCCAACUGAGUCCACCAAGGUUGUUAAAAAAAUCAUGUACGCAUAAAUCAUGUUUUUAUUUUGAAAACAUAGCCGUUCCUUGGCAUUGGCUGAGUUCACCCUCACGUGGUGGUUUGGCGUGAAGUGAACUCUAAAGUUUUAACCUCAAGAGUUAUCCAACCACGCCUCUCAUACUGAGAUAUGAAUAUAAUAGGGUUAUCGCGCCCUUUAAUAGGUUAGUCCACGGAACCCGUCAACUGCAGCGACCAAUUAUAACCCACAAAUUCAAUAAAAUUCAACAGUAUGACAUGGCAAUUAUUUUAUUUUACAACCUCUCAAGGCAAAUCAACAGUUCAUACAUUUUCAACACAUUUACCAAUUCAACCAUUCAUGCCAAUAUUAUCAUAAGCCAUUCAAUUCAAACCAUGAUUUAUAACACGGCAAUUAGUCUUUAAUUACUCCAUUUUUAAAACCAUCUUUCAAUUUCAAGAUAAUUUCAUAAAAUUAUUUCAUUUAAUCACAUUUUUCGUAAAAUUAUAAAAUCGAAUAAAAACAUACUUUAGAUAAUUAAGACAAUAAUAAAGUUACUCACUAUUUCGGGAGUCGAAUUCCAAGUACUCCGAUUCUUGAUCCGCGAGUACUAUUUCUUUACUUUUGCUAGAAUGCUCACCACCUAGACAUAAUGCACAAUAAGCCAUUUACUACAUUUGUGCUAAAUUGUUAUAAAACCAAUAUAGGCUUCAUCGUCUACAUGCGGCGUUGGCCUAAUUCGAUCUAUCACCCGAUUAAUUGGCCAAUACGUCCAAUUCAACUCCAAAUAAUUCCAUUUCUCUCCUAAUACUUCAAAUCACCAAACACAAGUCAAAUAACAUAAAAUUUAGCAAAACCAUCCUCACAUUUCUUCUUGAGAAUUUCGGCCAUGGUGAGUGCAUCAACACUAUGAUUUUUUCUACUUGAUUUUCUCACCAUUAUUCAUCAUUUCCUAACCAAUUCACUUGAAAAAAAAUCAAAUCCACCAUCAACACUCUACAAGGAAGAUUCAGCCAAUGAUGAACUCAUGAGGAAUAUGUGAAUUUCAAGCUUAAUUCUUACAUUUAACACCAUAAACAACUAAAACCAUCCAUAUAUCUUAAAAAUCUAUCUAAAUCAUCAUCAAAUUCUCUCUCCUUGGGUUUGAUCAGCACACUAUCUUUCAUGAUAUCUUGUGAUUUAACCAUGAAAAAUGUAAAAUAAUGCAUAGGAAAGAUAGAUCACAAGCUAGAGUUAAGAAAUUUCACCUUUGAUGGCUUGAUUACUUGAAAUCCACCAAUUUUCUCUUGAAUUUUCACUCUAGGGUUUUUGUUCUUCUUUUCUUCCUUUGUUCUUGCUAUGGCCAGGCAUAAGAAUGAAUGUGGAAGAGUUCAAAUUGGCUUUAUAAAGGAAAAUAUUAAAUGGACAAAAAUUUACCAUGUGUCACCAUUCCAUUGGUCCAUGUGUCAUACUUACCCAUUAAGCAAUCUCUCUCCACCAUAUAAAUAUCCUCAAUUAUCCAUGAUAAUAUUGGGUAAAAUCCAUGCGCUGGACAAGUGUUGGGUGAUGUAAAAUUACAAUUUUACCCUUAGGUGGCAAAAUGACUAUUUUGCCCUUAUCCUCGAAAAAACACCGAAAUUAAAAUUCUUCACUUCUAAAACUCAAAUUAUACUCCAAAUGAUCAAUCUUAGUCAAAAAUUUCAUCCAACACUCACAUCUUAAACUUGGAUAGCAAAAUGACCAUUUUGCCCCUGAGUCAUGAAAAUUCCAAUUUGACUCCAAAUCGGUCAUCAAACUCUGAAUCACCAUUUUAAGUCAUUUUGGGGUUUUAAAAUUCUCAAUUUCAUCUUAAAAUCUCUAUUUGGACGAGUUCGAGGCUUAAUUCAACUUAAUUGUACCAUUUGGUACAUUACCGUUCUUUAACGAUUUUCAAGGUACCCAAGUAAGCAAACAUGCAUUCUUAUGUAGGAAUGGCAUAAUAAACAUAUUGUAGAGCCGGGCUUAACAUAAAAUAAAUUAGGAGAUUAUAAAACCAUUUAAAGCGAGUAAUAAGGCUUUCAAAGGCCUAAGUGACAAUAAAUUGACUUUUCUUGGCAAUGGAUGGCUUUCACUUCAUGUUUCCCAUGGCAAACAUUCAAUUAUAAUCUGUUUUAACCAAAAAAUAUAAAAAAAAUUCAACUUAAAAUAAAUUAUGAGAUUAUAAAACCAUUUAAAACAAGUAAUAAGGCUUUUGAAGGUAUGAGAGACUAUAAAUGAACUUUUCUUCUCAUUGGAUGGCUUUCGCUUCACGUUUCCCUAAGCAAAUAUUUAAUUAUAACUUGUUUUAACCAAAAAGGCAAAAAAAGUCAGCUUAAAAUCGAUUAUGGGAUUAUAAAACCAUUUAAAGUGAGUAAUAAGGCUUCCGAAGGCAUGGGCGACUAUAAAUGGACUUUCUUGUCAAUGGAUGGCUUUCGCUUAAUGCUUCCCAAGGUAAACAUUCAGUUAUAAUCUGUUUUAACCAAAAAUAUGAAAAAAAUUCAACUUAGAAUCAAUUAUGAGAUUAUAAAACCAUUUAAAGCGAGUAAUAAGGCUUUUAAAGGCAUGAGUGACAAUAAAUGGGCAUUUCUUGGCAAUGGAUGGCUUUUGAUUCACAUUUCCCAUGGAAAACAUUCAAUUAUAAUCUCUUUUAAUCAAAAAUGUAAAAAAAAUUCAACUUAAAAUAAAUUAUGAGAUUAUAAAGCCAUUUAAAGCGAUCGAUAAGGCUUUCGAAGGCAUGAGUGACUAUAUAUGGACUUUCUUGUCAAUGGAUGGCUUUCGCUUAAUGUUUCCCAAGGUAAACAUUCAAUCAUGAUCUGUUUUAACCAAAAAAUGUAAAAAAAAUUCAACUUAAAAUUAAUUAUGAGAUUGUAAAACCAUUUAAAGUGAGUAAUAAGUUGUUUGAAAGAAUGAGUGACCAUAAAUCAUCUUUUCUUGUCAAUGGAUGGCUUUCACAUCAUGUUUCCCAAAGUAAACAUUCAAUUAUAAUAUGUUUUGACUAAAAAUGUAAAAAAAAAUUCAACCUAAAAUCAAUUAUGAGAUUAUAAAACCAUUUAAAGUGAGUAAUAAGGCUUUCGAAGGCAUGAGUGACUAUAUAUGAACUUUUCUUCUCAAUGUAUGGCUUUUGCUUCACGUUUCCCAAAGCAAAUAAUCAAUUAUAACCUGUUUUAACUCAAAAGGUAAAAAUAUUCAUUUUAAAAUCGAUUAUGAGAUUAUAAAACCAUUUAAAGCGAGUAAUAAGGCUUUUGAAGGUAUGAGUGACUAUAAAUGGACUUUCUUGUCAAUGGAUGGCUUUCGCUUAAUGUUUUUGAGGUAAGCAAUCGAUUAUAAUAUGUUUUUAACCAAAAAUGUGAACAAAUUCACUUCAAAUCAAUUAAGAGAUUAUAAAACCAUUUAAAGUGAGUAAUAAGGCUUUUAAAGGCCUAAGUGACAAUAAAUGGACUUUUCUUGGUAAUGGAUGGCUUUCGCUUCAGGUUUCCCAUGGUAAACAUUCAAUUAUAAUCUGUUUUAACUAAAAAUGUAAAAAAAAUUCAACUUAAAAUAAAUUACGAGAUUAUAAAACCAUUUAAAGCAAGUAAUAAUGCUUUCGAAGGUAUGAGUGACUAUAAAUGAACUUUUCUUCUCAUUGGAUGACUUUCGCUUCAUGUUUCUCAAAGCAAAUAUUCAAUUAUAACCUAUUUUAAUCAGAAAGGGAAAAUAAUUCAACUUCAAAUCGAUUAUGAGAUUAUAAAACCAUUUAAAGCGAGUAAUAAGGCUUCUGAAGGCAUGAGUGACUAUAAAUGGACUUUCUUGUCAAUGGAUGGCUUUUGCUUAAUGCUUCCCAAGGUAAACAUUCAGCUAUAAUCUGUUUUAACCAAAAAUGUAAAAAAAUUCAACUUAAAAUCAAUUAUGAGAUUAUAAAACCAUUUAAAGCGAGUAAUAAGGCUUUUGAAGGCAUGAGUGACAAUAAAUGGACUUUCCUUGGCAAUGGAUGGCUUUUGCUUCAUGUUUCCCAUGAAAAACAAUCAAAUAUAAUCUGUUUUAACAAACAAUGUAAAAAAAUUCAACUUAAAAUCAAUUAUGAGAUUAUAUAACCAUUUAAAGGGAGAAACAAAGCUUUUGAAGGCAUAAGUGACUAUAAAAGAAGUUUUCUUCUCAAUGAAUGGUUUUUGCUUCACGUUUCUCGAGGUAAACAUUCAAUUAUAAUCUGUUUUAACCAAAAAUGUAAAAAAAAUUCAACUUAAAAUCAAUUAUGAGAUUAUAUAACCAUUUAAAGGGAGAAACAAAGCUUUUGAAGGCAUAAGUGACUAUAAAAGAAGUUUUCUUCUCAAUGAAUGGUUUUUGCUUCACGUUUCUCGAGGUAAACAUUCAAUUAUAAUCUGUUUUAACCAAAAAUGUAAAAACAAUUCAACUUAAAAUCAAUUAUGAGAUUAUAUGAUCAUUUAAAGGCAUAAAUAAAGCUUUUGAAGGCAUAAGUGACUAUAAAAGAAGUUUUCUUCUCAAUGAAUGGUUUUUGCUUCACGUUUCUCGAGGUAAACAUUCAAUUAUAAUCUGUUUUAACCAAAAAUGUAAAAAAAAUUCAACUUAAAAUCAAUUAUGAGAUUAUAUGAUCAUUUAAAGGCAUAAAUAAAGCUUUUGAAGGCAUAAGUGACUAUAAAAGAAGUUUUCUUCUCAAUGAAUGGUUUUUGCUUCACGUUUCUCGAGGUAAACAUUCAAUUAUAAUCUGUUUUAACCAAAAAUGUAAAAAAAAUUCAACUUAAAAUCAAUUAUGAGAUUAUAUGAUCAUUUAAAGGCAUAAAUAAAGCUUUUGAAGGCAUAAGUGACUAUAAAAGAAGUUUUCUUCUCAAUGAAUGGUUUUUGCUUCACGUUUCUCGAGGUAAACAUUCAAUUAUAAUCUGUUUUAACCAAAAAUGUAAAAAAAAUUCAACUUAAAAUCAAUUAUGAGAUUAUAUGAUCAUUUAAAGGCAUAAAUAAAGCUUUUGAAGGCAUAAGUGACUAUAAAAGAAGUUUUCUUCUCAAUGAAUGGUUUUUGCUUCACGUUUCUCGAGGUAAACAUUCAAUUAUAAUCUGUUUUAACCAAAAAUGUAAAAAAAAUUCAACUUAAAAUCAAUUAUGAGAUUAUAUGAUCAUUUAAAGGCAUAAAUAAAGCUUUUGAAGGCAUAAGUGACUAUAAAAGAAGUUUUCUUCUCAAUGAAUGGUUUUUGCUUCACGUUUCUCGAGGUAAACAUUCAAUUAUAAUCUGUUUUAACCAAAAAUGUAAAAAAAAUUCAACUUAAAAUCAAUUAUGAGAUUAUAUGAUCAUUUAAAGGCAUAAAUAAAGCUUUUGAAGGCAUAAGUGACUAUAAAAGAAGUUUUCUUCUCAAUGAAUGGUUUUUGCUUCACGUUUCUCGAGGUAAACAUUCAAUUAUAAUCUGUUUUAACCAAAAAUGUAAAAAAAAUUCAACUUAAAAUCAAUUAUGAGAUUAUAAAACCAUUUAAAGCAAGUAAUAAGGCUUACGAAGCCAUGAGUGACUAUAAAUGAACUUUUCUUCUAAAAUGGAUGGCAUUCGCAUCGCGUUUCCUGAGAUAAAUACUCAAUUAUAAUCUAUUUUAACAAAAAAUGUGAAAAAAUUCACUUAAAAUCAAUUAAGAGAUUAUAAAACCAUUUAAAGCAAAUACUAAGGCUUUCGAAGCCAUAAGUGACAAUAAAUGGACUUUUCUUGGCAAUGGAUGGCUUUCAUUUCACGUUUCUCAUGGCAAACAUUCAAUUAUAAUCUGUUUUAACUAAAAAUAUAAAAAAUUCAACUUAAAAUAAAAAAUGAGAUUAUAAAACCAUUUAAAGCGAGUAAUAAGGCUUUCGAAGGCAUGAGUGACUAUAAAUGAACUUUUCUUCCUAAUGGAUUGCUUGCGUUUCACGUUUCACGAGGCAAAUAUUCACUUAUAAUCUGUUCUAACCAAAAAGGCAUUCAAAUUCAACUUAAAACCAAUUAUGAGAUUAUAAAACUAUUUAAAGCGUGCAAUAAUGCUUUCGAAGGUAUGAGUGACUAUAAAUGGACUUUUCUUAUCAAUGGAUGGAUUUCCCUUCACAUUUUUCGAGGCAAACAUUCAAUUGUAAUUUAUUUUAACCAAAAUGUAAAAAAACUUAACUUAAAAUCAAUUAUGAGAUUACAAAAGCGUUUGAAGCGAGUAUGUCAAACCCUGUUCUAUAAAAUAAUUACGACGUCAUUUACAUGCUCAAUAGAAUGUUUGCAUAUUUAGGAAGUUUGAGAAAUCAUUAAAAGACGAUAUUGCCCCUAAUGAUACCAUUAAGUCGAUUAAACCUCGAACUAGUUCAAAUAGGGAUUUGAAUGUGAAAUUCAAAAUUUUACAGUCAAGGAAUGACUUAAAAUGGUGAUUCGGAGUUCGAGGAUUAAUUUGGAGUCAAAUCGAAACUUUCACUAUCUAGGGGCAAAAUGGUAAUUUUGUCACCAGAGGAUAAAAUUGAAAUAUUGAAAGAAGUUUUUGAUCAAGAUUGAUCACAUUUGACUCAUUGGAGUAUAAUUUGAGGUUGAUAAGUGAAAAAGUUAUAAUUUUGGUAUUUUUGGAGUAUAGGGGCAAAACAGUAAUUUUACCGCCCCGGGGGUAAAUCGAUAAAUUUUCACCCCCGACACUUGUCAAGACCAAGGGAUUUUAUACAUCAUGGAAAUGGAUAAACAUGAGAAAUAUGUGGUGGAGAAUUAAAGAAUUAAAAGUCAAAUAUUUAAAAUUUGAACCAAUAAGGAAAUGCCAUGUGUCAUGCUUUUAUUAUUUUAUUGUUUCUUUAUAAAAAGGCAUAAAAGCCAGCCCAUUUCUCCCAUAGUGGUUGGCCAAACCAGAAGAGAAGAGAAACCAAGGAAGAACAAACCCUAGGUGCAGAAAAUCAAAGAGAAAGUGUUGGAAUUCAACGAUUUGAUCAAGCAAAGGUAAAAUUUCUUUGAUUUUGCUAGUGAUUUACCUUACCCAUGCAUUUCUUCUUAAUUUUCAUGGUUGGAUUGUAUGUUUUCAUGGGGAAAUCAUGGCUGGCCGAAUGGGUUUGGUGAGAGAAAUGAUGUUGGAAUUGUUUGAUUUUGAGUUAUGUUGGUGUUUAGAGUUAGUUAAGCAUGUUUAGAAACAAAACAACAAGAAAAGAAUCCAUUUUCCCUAUGAACCUUCAAUGGUCGAACCCUAUGUGAAGUGUAGAAGUAAUGAAUUGAUUUUGUGAUCAAGUGAAUUGGUUGAAAAAUUGAUGAAAUGAUGAUUUAUGGUGAGAAAAUGGAAUGGGAAAAUUUUUAGUGAUAGUGCAUCACAAUGGCCGAAAUUUUCAAGAAGAAUUGUGAGGGUUGUUAGGCUGAAUUUUAGAUUAUUAGAAUUGUAUUUAGUGAAUUGAUAUAUUAGAAAUGUAAUGGAACAAUUUGGAGCCAAAUCGGACACAAUUGUCAUUUAAUCGGAUAAUAGGCUGAAUUAGGUCAGCACCACAUUUAAGCGGUAGUCGGAUAAGUUGCAUAUCAUAUCAUGCAUAUACACCGAGCUUGAAUUGAUUUUAUAAUGGUCAAGCAUUAAUGUGGUGAAUUAUGUAUUGUAUAUUGUGGAUAGGUGGUGAGCAAAUUACACUGGUAAAAGUACAGAGAUUGUGCUUGAAAACUGGGAUUAGGAGUACAUCGACUCCUAGAACUAUGAGUAAACUUAUUAUCGUUUUAAUUAUCUAGAGUAGUUUUGUACAAUUGUGUGAUUUUAUAGAAAAUGGGUUUAAAUGGUAAAUUGCUAUGUUUCAGGAGAAAUUGUGAUUUUAUAAAAUGAUUUUAUAAAUUUUUUGAAAAAUUGAAUACUGAUUUUGAAAAUAGAGUAAUUGUAGACUGCCUACUUGUGUUAUAAAUUGUGUUUUAAAUUAUAUGGCUUAUAGGAAUAUGUGAGCAUGAAUGGCAAAGUCGGUAUUUGUAUCAAAAUUAUAUAUACUAUGUAUUCAGCCUUGAGAGGCUAGAUUGCGAUAAAUUGUCAUGUCAUGUAGAUAAAGAUUUUAUAAAUCAGGUGGUAGAUAAAAUAAUCCAUAAUCCCUGCAGUGGAGGUUCUGUGGACCAGCCUAAGAGAGGGGGCACAGAAUUAGAUAUACCUUACCUCGAUCAGAGAGCUGUGUGGAAGGUGUCUCUAGAGGUAAAGAUUUGAGUGCACUUCACGUGGACCACCGCGUGAGAGUGAGACUCAACCAACGCCAAGGCAUGGCUAGAUUUUCAAAUGUAAAAAUAUGUUCAUGUGUGUACUACACUGAAC
rnacentral:lncRNA from 1 species